rnacentral:tRNA from 1 species
GUGAAGGUAGGUGAAAUCUACUAAAAACAGAUUUUAGGGGACUGAAAAUCCCCGUGUCGGCGGUUCGAUUCCGUCCCUCGGCACCA